rnacentral:rRNA from 1 species
CGCGUAGGCGGCCCCGUAAGUCCGCUGUGAAAGUCAAAGGCUCAACCUUUGAAAGCCGGUGGAUACUGUGGGGCUAGAGUCCGGAAGAGGCGAGUGGAAUUCCUGGUGUAGCGAUGGAAUGCGCAGAUAUCAGGAGGAACACCAAUAGCGAAGGCAGCUCGCUGGGACGGUACUGACGCUAAGGCGCGAAAGCGUGGGAGCGAACA